AAGGGCGGGAGAGAUCUGCAAACUCCUUUGAUCCAGGAAAUAUUAGAUAAGCUGUUUAGGGUCCUUGCACUUACUCUGUUAAUAGAUUUGUUUCCCCUGCACCAAAUUCUACUUGAAAUAGGGAAAAGACUGGGAAAUGGAUGAAAAAAGAGCAAAAACUGGAAACAGCUCAGGCACUCAGCAAAAAUAUGUUUCCUGAGAAUAGAUUCUAUAAUGUGACCAAAUUGCAAACUCACUUUCUACCUCCACCUGCCUUUCAAACAUUCAGAACUGCAUGUGAAGAAGACAUCUUGAGCCUAGGUAGUGGGCCUUCUGAAGAACUGAAGCCAUCAUGCCUUGAGAGGAACGAACAUAUGGACAGUGAUGAUGGACAGAUGGAGCAUGAAUCUAUCAAUCCACUUCAUUCAGAAGAAAAUUCAGAUGUUCUUGUGACAAAAAGCGUCUCAGAAGGUAUAUUGUAUCAUAAUGCUUUACAUAUUU